UGUACAGGUCUGUCCCAUCUUAAGCUGGGGUUACGUUCUGCAGUUAGCGCGUAAAGCAAAAAUCGCGUAUAGUCAAAAUUACAUUGAGUAAUGGAGGGGAGAA